GGGUCCGCACAAGCAGUGGAGCAUGUGGUUUAAUUCGAUGAUACGCGAGGAACCUUACCAGGGCUUAAAUGGGAAAAUGACAGGGGCAGAGACGCCCCCUUCUUCGGACAUUUUUCAAGGUGCUGCAUGGUUGUCGUCAGCUCGUGCCGUGAGGUGUCAGGUUAAGUCCUAUAACGAGCGCAACCCCUACCGUUAGUUGCCAGCGUGUAAUGACGGGGACUCUAACGGAACUGCCGGUGCAAACCGUGAGGAAGGUGGGGACGACGUCAAAUCAUCACGGCCCUUACGUCCUGGCCACACACGUGGCUACAAUGGUAGGUACAGAGGGAAGCCACCCCAGCGAGGGGGAGCGGA
rnacentral:rRNA from 1 species